UACGUAGGGGGCUAGCGUUGUCCGGAUUUAUUGGGCGUAAAGAGCUCGUAGGCGGUUCGGUAAGUUGGAUGUGAAAUCUCCAGGCUCAACUUGGAGGGGUCAUCCGAUACUGCCGUGACUGGAGUUCGGUAGAGGAGUGUGGAAUUCCUGGUGGAGCGGUGAAAUGCGCAGAUAUCAGGAGGAACACCGGUGGCGAAGGCGGAUCUCUGGGCCUUACCUGACGCUCAGGUGCGAAAGCUAGGGGAGCGAACAGG
rnacentral:rRNA from 1 species